rnacentral:tRNA from 2 species
GCCGGCGUAGCUCAGUCGGUAGAGCAACUCACUUGUAAUGAGUAGGUCGCCGGUUCGACUCCGGCCGCCGGCU